rnacentral:rRNA from 1 species
UUGACCUCGGAUCAGGUAGGGAUACCCGCUGAACUUAAGCAUAUCAAUAAGCGGAGGAAAAGAAACCAACAGGGAUUGCCCCAGUAACGGCGAGUGAAGCGGCAAGAGCUCAAAUUUGAAAGCUGGCUCCUUCGGGGUCCGCAUUGUAAUUUGCAGAGGAUGCUUCGGGAGCGGUCCCCAUCUAAGUGCCCUGGAACGGGACGUCAUAGAGGGUGAGAAUCCCGUAUGGGAUGGGGUGUCCGCGCCUAUGUGAAGCUCCUUCGACGAGUCGAGUUGUUUGGGAAUGCAGCUCUAAAUGGGUGGUAAAUUUCAUCUAAAGCUAAAUAUUGGCCGGAGACCGAUAGCGCACAAGUAGAGUGAUCGAAAGAUGAAAAGCACUUUGAAAAGAGAGUUAAAAAGCACGUGAAAUUGUUGAAAGGGAAGCGCUUGCGAUCAGACUCGCUCGCGGGGUUCAGCCGGCAUUCGUGCCGGUGUACUUCCCCGCGGGCGGGCCAGCGUCGGUUUGGGCGGUCGGUCAAAGGCCCUCGGAAGGUAACGCCCCCUCGGGGGCGUCUUAUAGCCGAGGGUGCAAUGCGACCUGCCUGGACCGAGGAACGCGCUUCGGCUCGGACGC